rnacentral:rRNA from 1 species
UACGUAGGGGGCAAGCGUUGUCCGGAUUUAUUGGGCGUAGAAGGCUUGUAGGUGGCCACGCCAAGUCGGAUGUGAAAUCUCCCGGCUCAACUGGGAGGGGUCAUUCGAUACUGGCGGGCUCGAGGCCGGUAGGGGGAAGUGGAAUUCCCGGUGUAGUGGUGGAAUGCGUAGAUAUCGGGAGGAACACCAGUGGCGAAGGCGGCUUCCUGGACCGGUUCUGACACUGAGGAGCGAAAGCUAGGGGAGCAAACGGG